UUUCUUUCUCAGCGGCAGGAUGUCAGCUGAUCUGCUGCUCCUGGAGGUACCGAGGUCCAAACAGAAGCUCAGAGGGGAUAGAGCAUUUUCCACUGCUGCUCCAAAACUAUGGAACGAGUUACCAUUGAACAUUAGACAAGCCUCCUCACUGUCCAUUUUUAAAACCAGUCUUAAAACCCAUUUUUACUCCCUGGCUUUUAACUCCACAUGAGACAUUUUAU